AUUGAACGCUGGCGGCAGGCUUAACACAUGCAAGUCGAGCGGGGUGAUGGUGCUUGCACUAUCACUUAGCGGCGGACGGGUGAGUAAUGCUUAGGAAUCUGCCUAUUAGUGGGGGACAACAUCUCGAAAGGGAUGCUAAUACCACAUACGUCCUACGGGAGAAAGCAGGGGAUCCCUUGUGACCUUGAGCUAAUAGGUGAGGCAAAGUCGGAUUAGCUAGUGGGUGGGGUAAAGGCCUACCAAGGGGAUGAUCUGUAGCGGGUCUGAGAGGAUGAUCCGCCACACUGGGACUGAGACACGGCCCAGACUCCUACGGGAGGCAGCAGUGGGGAAUAUUGGACAAUGGGGGGAACCCUGAUCCAGCCAUGCCGCGUGUGUGAAGAAGGCCUUAUGGUUGUAAAGCACUUUAAGCGAGGAGGAGGCUCUUUUGGUUAAUACCCAAGAUGAGUGGACGUUACUCGCAGAAUAAGCACCGGCUAACUCUGUGCCAGCAGCCGCCGUAA
rnacentral:rRNA from 1 species